rnacentral:misc_RNA from 1 species
AAUUCUCAAAAACCUUUCUUUUGCUUUUGCUGGAAAGGAUUUUUGGACUUGGAGGUUCAAUGCUUGCUUUUCACCUUUGAAAGCAAGCUCCUCUCAAAUAAAUUAGCGGGGUCUGCUUUGCUGAUCCUUGACGUGAUAAGAUGUUUCUACGUUUUGGAUUUGGCACUGUCCCUUUGGACACCUGCUCCUAACUGUCUCAUGGACAACGAUGGUGCUCUGGUCUUUGCCGUCUACACUGGCGGGGGAGGCUGGACCCACAAAAGAAAA